rnacentral:rRNA from 1 species
CAGUCGCCGCGGUAAUACGUAGGGUGCGAGCGUUAAUCGGGAUUACUGGGCGUAAAGCGUGAGCAGGCGGUUCGUUAAGACAGAUGUGAAAUCCCCGGGCUUAACCUGGGAACUGCAUUUGUGACUGGCGAGCUAGAGUAUGGCAGAGGGGGGUAGAAUUCCACGUGUAGCAGUGAAAUGCGUUGAGAUGUGGAGGAAUACCGAUGGCGAAGGCAGCCCCCUGGGCCAAUACUGACGCUCAUGCACGAAAGCGUGGGGAGCAAACAGGAUUAGAUACCCGCGUAGUCCCUGUCUCUUAUAC